AACGAACGCUGGCGGCAUGCCUAACACAUGCCAGUCGAACGAAGGCUUCGGCCUUAGUGGCGCACGGGUGCGUAACGCGUGGGAAUCUGCCCUUUGGUUCGGAAUAACAGCUGGAAACGGCUGCUAAUACCGGAUGAUGACGAAAGUCCAAAGAUUUAUCGCCAGAGGAUGAGCCCGCGUUGGAUUAGGUAGUUGGUGGGGUAAAGGCCUACCAAGCCGACGAUCCAUAGCUGGUCUGAGAGGAUGAUCAGCCACACUGGGACUGAGACACGGCCCAGACUCCUACGGGAGGCAGCAGUGGGGAAUAUUGGACAAUGGGCGCAAGCCUGAUCCAGCAAUGCCGCGUGAGUGAUGAAGGCCCUAGGGUUGUAAAGCUCUUUUGCCCGGGAAGAUAAUGACUGUACCGGGAGAAUAAGCCCCGGCUAACUCCGUG
rnacentral:rRNA from 1 species